rnacentral:rRNA from 1 species
UACGUAGGGGGCAAGCGUUGUCCGGAUUCAUUGGGCGUAAAGGGUGUGUAGGUGGCGCCGUUAGUCGGGUGUGAAAUUUCGGAGCUUAACUCCGAAACUGCAUUCGAUACUGCGGUGCUUGAGGACUGGAGAGGAGACUGGAAUUCAUGGUGUAGCAGUGAAAUGCGUAGAGAUCAUGAGGAAGAUCAGUGGCGAAGGCGGGUCUCUGGACAGUUCCUGGCACUGAGACACGAAGGCCAGGGGAGCAAACGGG